rnacentral:rRNA from 1 species
AUACGGAGGGUGCAAGCGUUACUCGGAAUCACUGGGCGUAAAGCGCGUGCAGGCGGUCUUUUAAGUUGGAUGUGAAAGCCUACGGCUCAACCGUAGAACUGCAUCCAAAACUAUUAGACUAGAGUGUGGGAGAGGAAGAUGGAAUUAGUUGUGUAGGGGUAAAAUCCGUAGAGAUAGCUAGGAAUACCAAAAGCGAAGGCAAUCUUCUGGAACACUACUGACGCUGAGGCGCGAAAGCGUGGGGAGCAAACAGGAUUAGAAACCCCGGUAGUCC